UACGUAGGACCCAAGCGUUAUUCGGAAUUACUGGGCGUAAAGAGUUGCGUAGGCGGCAAGUUAAGUGGGUAGUGAAAUCGUGUGGCUCAACCAUACACACAUUAUCUAAACUGACUAGCUAGAGUAUGAUAGAGGUAACUGGAAUUCCAAGUGUAGGAGUGAAAUCCGUAGAUAUUUGGAGGAACACCGAUGGCGUAGGCAGGUUACUGGAUCAUUACUGACGCUGAGGCACGAAAGCGUGGGGAGCAAACGGG
rnacentral:rRNA from 1 species